rnacentral:rRNA from 1 species
GCCUGUGACCAAAUCACCUGGUAUGCACCCAGUCUUGUCGGCACUCUGAAGCUCAGCAGGGUUGGGCCCGGAUAGUGCUUGGGACGGGCGACCACCUUGCAUAACAGGUUGUUAUAGGCU